rnacentral:rRNA from 1 species
UACGAAGGGUGCAAGCGUUAUUCGGAAUUACUGGGCGUAAAGCGUGCGUAGGUGGUUUGUUAAGUCCGAUGUGAAAGCCCUGGGCUCAACCUGGGAAUGGCAUUGGAUACUGGCAGGCUAGAGUGCGGUAGAGGGCAGUGGAAUUCCCGGUGUAGCAGUGAAAUGCGUAGAUAUCAGGAGGAAUACCGAUGGCGAAGGCAGGUCUCUGGGCUGACACUGACGCUCAUGCACGAAAGCGUGGGGAGCAAACAGG